CUGGGCGUAAAGCGCGCGCAGGCGGGCUAAUAAGUUGGAUGUGAAAGCCUACGGCUCAACCCGUAGAACUGCAUCCAAAACUGUUAGUCUAGAGUCUGGGAGGGGAAGAUGGAAUUAGUUGUGUAGGGGUAAAAUCCGUAGAGAUAACUAGGAAUACCAAAAGCGAAGGCGAUCUUCUGGAACAGUACUGACGCUGAGGCGCGAAAGCGUGGGGAGCAAACAGGAUUAGAUACCCUGGUAGUCCACGCCCUAAACGAUGAAUGUUAGUCGUUGGAGUCCUAGUGACUUCAGUGAUGCAGCUAACGCAUUAAACAUUCCGCCUGGGGAGUACGGUCGCAAGAUUAAAACUCAAAGGAAUAGACGGGGACCCGCACAAGUGGUGGAGCAUGUGGUUUAAUUCGAAGAUACGCGAAGAACCUUACCUGGCCUUGACAUUGAUGGAACCCGCUAGAGAUAGUGGGGCGCCCUUCGGGGAGCCUGAAAACAGGUGCUGCACGGCUGUCGUCAGCUCGUGUCGUGAGAUGUUGGGUUAAGUCCCGCAACAAGCGCAACCCUCGUCACUAGUUACUAACGGUUCGGCCGAGGACUCUAGUGAGACUGCCUUCGCAAGGAGGAGGAAGGUGAGGACGACGUCAAGUCAUCAUGGCCCUUACGGCCAGGGCAACACACGUGCUACAAUGGGUAGGACAAUGAGACGCGAUACCGCGAGGUGGAGCAAAUCUAUAAACCUAUUCUCAGUUCGGAUUGUAGUCUGCAACUCGACUACAUGAAGCUGGAAUCACUAGUAAUCGUAGAUCAGCUAUGCUACGGUGAAUACGUUCCCGGGUCUUGUACUCACCGCCCGUCACACCAUGGGAGUUGAUUUCACCCGAAGCGGGGAAGCUAAACUGGCUACCCUCCACGGUGGGAUCAGCGACUGGGGUGAAGUCGUAACAAGGUAAC
rnacentral:rRNA from 1 species